CCCUUAGAUGUUCUGGGCCGCACGCGCGCUAAACUGAUGCAUUCAACAAGCCUAGCCUUGACCGAGAGGUCCGGGUAAUCUUUGAAACUGCAUCGUGAUGGGGCUAGAUUAUUGCAAUUAUUAAUCUUCAACGAGGAAUGCCUAGUAAGCGUGAUUCAUCAAAUCGCGUUGAUUACGUCCCUGCCCUUUGUACACACCGCCCGUCGCUCCUACCGAUUGAAUGUGUUGGUGAGGAGCUCGGAUUGGCAGCAGUUGGUGGUUCGCCACCGGCUAUUGCUGAGAAGUCCUCCAAACCGCCCCAUUUAGAGGAAGGAGAAGUCGUAACA
rnacentral:rRNA from 1 species